rnacentral:rRNA from 1 species
CCUACGGGUGGCAGCAGUGAGGAAUAUUGGUCAAUGGGCGAGAGCCUGAACCAGCCAAGUCGCGUGAGGGAGUACUGCCCUAUGGGUUGUAAACCUCUUUUGUCGGGGAGCAAAAGCCGGACGUGUCCGGCUGUGAGAGUACCCGAAGAAAAAGCAUCGGCUAACUCCGUGCCAGCAGCCGCGGUAAUCCGGAGGAUGCGAGCGUUAUCCGGAUUUAUUGGGUUAAAAGGGUGCGCAGGCGGAUUUUUAAGUCAGCGGUAAAAUCGUGGGGCUCAACCCCAUCCAGCCGUUGAAACUGGGGAUCUAGAGUGUGCGAGAGGUAUGCGGAAUGCGUGGUGUAGCGGUGAAAUGCAUAGAUAUCACGCAGAACCCCGAUUGCGAAGGCAGCAUACCGGUGCACAACUGACGCUCAGGCACGAAAGCGUGGGUAUCGAACAGGAUUAGAUACCCCGGUAGUC